rnacentral:misc_RNA from 1 species
CACACCCACCUCUUGGCCCUG